rnacentral:rRNA from 1 species
UGGGGAAUCUUCCGCAAUGGACGAAAGUCUGACGGAGCAACGCCGCGUGAGUGAUGACGGCCUUCGGGUUGUAAAGCUCUGUUAAUCGGGACGAAUGGUUCUUGUGCGAAUAGUGCGAGGAUUUGACGGUACCGGAAUAGAAAGCCACGGCUAACUACGUGCCAGCAGACGCGGUAAUACGUAGGUGGCAAGCGUUGUCCGGAAUUAUUGGGCGUAAAGCGCGCGCAGGCGGAUUGGUCAGUCUGUCUUAAAAGUUCGGGGCUUAACCCCGUGAUGGGAUGGAAACUGCCAAUCUAGAGUAUCGGAGAGGAAAGUGGAAUUCCUAGUGUAGCGGUGAAAUGCGGAGAUAAUAGGAAGAACACCAGUGGCGAAGGCGACUUUCUGGACGAAAACUGACGCUGAGGCGCGAAAGCCAGGGGAGCGAACGGG